rnacentral:lncRNA from 1 species
UGAGAUCUAGUAGUCCCUUUUGCAAUAAAGCAAUGAUGGACAUUUCUUCACUACUGAGAGAAUAGAAUGAGUUCCACAGUGGCUUUUAUUCAUCACUGCAAAGAAGCUAGAGAAAAUGACUCUUUGCUCUGAGAAUAGUCCUGUCCCUGGAAGGGUCUGGAUAUAGAAUGGGAAACCAUGGCCUUGGGAAACACGCUGGGAAUCACAGGCAGGUACUUUUAUUUUAAAUUGGUUCCUCGUCUCCAUUCUAUCCGGUUACGAGUAUUCCUUCAGAAGACGUUUACUAAGCGCUUGCU